UAUGUAGGUGUCCUGAUAAGUCAAUUGUGAAAUCUCUUGGCUUAACCAAGAAAGUGCUUUUGAAACUGUCAGGAUUGAGUAUGGAAGAGGAGAGUGGAAUUCCCGGUGUAAGGGUGAAAUCUGUAGAGAUCGGGAGGAACACCAGUGGCGAAAGCGGCUCUCUGGUCCAAUACUGACGCUGAAAUACGAAAGCUAGGGGAGCAAACAGGAUUAGAUACCCUGGUAGUCC
rnacentral:rRNA from 1 species